rnacentral:sRNA from 22 species
CCCAGAGGCCCCACACGGGCGUUUCCUCCCUGACUUGGGCCACCCUUCGGGGUGGCUUUUUUUUUGGCUCUAU